ACAAUAUAAUUUAAGUAAAACAAUAGCAAUUUAUUUGGGUAGCUUUUUGUAUGAGUUUGUUGUGUACAAGAAAUGUUAUAAAAGUGAGUUGAAAUACACAAUUUAUUUGAGCAGCUGUCGAUGUGGCAUGUGUGUUCAUCAAACUUAAAUAUUUGAAAUAAAAAACACAUAAAAAUUAAGUUGGAUUUAUCCCUUUUUCACUGGCGGGGACUUUCCAAGGCAGAUGCUUCCUCGGCACUUCAACUGUUUGAAAGCUGCAGCGGAUCUAAAUUUCACAGACUGAUUAACACGUCUCCGGUGGGGCAUGCAGCUAUCGUGGGGUCCUUGUGUUAUCAGCAGCAGAGUUGUAACCAAGCGUUUUUGUUACCUGGGGUCUUCAGAUACAGGAUCCGUCUGGCUAUGUGGAGAAAAGGAGAGAAGUGGUACUGAGAUGCCUGAUUGAGUACAUAUGGGAGGGAAAGGAAGACCUCAUCAGUGUCCACCAUAGUCAUGAUGAAACAGAGGUGCACGCUGAGCUUGGCAGUUCCCCACUGAAAAUAUACAUGCGCCAUCAGCCAAACACGAUUGGGAUUAUCACAGUAGAAGGACAGCCUAUGGUCAGAGGUGUGCCAAACCUGUAGAAAACCUCCUGUUUGGACUUGUCUAUGCCCACAACCUCUAAUAUCACUCAAAUCUGGUGUAUACUUCUGAGAUAUAUCACAGGCUCUUUGUGGGAUUGGACCCUAUGCAUACUUUUGUAUGUUUUGUAGGCACUGUUAAAAGUGACACUAGUUGACAUUGAAUAAAUGUUAUUGUCUUUAA